rnacentral:rRNA from 1 species
AACGAACGCUGGCGGCAGGCUUAACACAUGCAAGUCGAACGCCCCGCAAGGGGAAUGGCAGACGGGUGAGUAACGCGUGGGAAUCUACCGUGCCCUACGGAACAACAGUUGGAAACGACUGCUAAUACCGUAUACGCCCUACGGGGAAAGAUGUAUCGGGGUAUGAUGAGCCCGCGUUGGAUUAGCUAGUUGGUGGGGUAAAGGCCUACCAAGGCGACGAUCCAUAGCUGGUCUGAGAGGAUGAUCAGCCACAUUGGGACUGAGACACGGCCCAAACUCCUGCGUGAGGCAGCAGUGGGGAAUAUUGGACAAUGGGCGCAAGCCUGAUCCAGCCAUGCCGCGUGAGUGAUGAAGGCCUUAGGAUUGUAAAGCUCUUUCACCGACGAAGAUAAUGACGGUAGUCGAAGAAGAAGCCCCGGCUAACUUCGUGCCAGCCGCCGCAGUAA